rnacentral:rRNA from 1 species
GAUGAACGCUGGCGGCGUGCUUAACACAUGCAAGUCGAACGAAGCACUUUAUUUGAUUUCCUUCGGGACCGAUUAUUUUGUGACUGAGUGGCGGACGGGUGAGUAACGCGUGGGUAACCUGCCUUGUACAGGGGGAUAACAGUUGGAAACGGCUGCUAAUACCGCAUAAGCGCACGGCAUCGCAUGAUGCAGUGUGAAAAACUCCGGUGGUAUAAGAUGGACCCGCGUUGGAUUAGCUAGUUGGUGAGGUAACGGCCCACCAAGGCGACGAUCCAUAGCCGACCUGAGAGGGUGACCGGCCACAUUGGGACUGAGACACGGCCCAAACUCCUACGGGAGGCAGCAGUGGGGAAUAUUGCACAAUGGGCGAAAGCCUGAUGCAGCGACGCCGCGUGAGCGAAGAAGUAUUUCGGUAUGUAAAGCUCUAUCAGCAGGGAAGAUAAUGACGGUACCUGACUAAGAAGCACCGGCUAAAUACGUG